rnacentral:piRNA from 1 species
UGCUGGGUGCUUUCACCUUUGGGGCGG